ACGGAAGGCAGCAGUGGGGGAUAUUGCACAAUGGGCGAAAGCCUGAUGCAGCGACGCCGCGUGAGGGAAGACGGUUUUCGGAUUGUAAACCUCUGUCUUCGGGGACGAAAAAGGACGGUACCCGAGGAGGAAGCCACGGCUAACUACGUGCCAGCAGCCGCGGUGAUACGUAGGUGGCAAGCGUUGUCCGGAAUUACUGGGUGUAAAGGGAGAGUAGGCGGGACUGCAAGUCCGUUGUUAAAUCUAUCGGCUCAACCGGUAGCUGCGGCGGAAACUGUAGUUCUUGAGUGAAGUAGAGGCAGGCGGAAUUCCUAGUGUAGCGGUGAAAUGCGUAGAUAUUAGGAAGAACACCAGUGGCGAAGGCGGAUUACUGGACGACAACUGACGGUGAGGCGCGAAAGCGUGGGGAGCAAACAGGAUUAGAUACCCUGGUA
rnacentral:rRNA from 1 species